AAGAAAGAUGACUUAUUUGUCCACAGUGCCAAUGACAGGUUCCACAUUUUCCCAAAUGUAUGAGCCUCUAACCUAAGACAUGUCCAAAAGUUCUUUACUUACAGGGACAUGAUCUAGGGGCUUAGAGGGCCCUGGAAAAGUAAGAUAAUAUAUUUUAAAGACCCAAUUUUACACAAAAGAACAAAAAGAGGAAGAACUAUAGCAGAAUGCCACUGCUGUGGAUUCAGACUUCACCUCCCUGCCCACGGAGAUGAUUGAAGGGGAAAAAGGACAGAACAUGAAACUAACAAGCUUGAGGCCUUAUCAGUGUCUAUAUUGGCAAAUUGAGGAGCGAUGCACUCCCCAAGGCUGAAUGUUUUUCUACCAAUGCAUAAGAUCUACCAGCCACAGACAGGCACUGUUUUUAGAUGGUCUUGAGGCAUCUCAUUUUACAAAGGAUAUAGAAACAGACGGAUGCUAUAUAGAAACUGGUGGAGUGGGGUGGAAGAGAAGACAGAAGACAAGGGUUAUAAUUUAAUCAUAUAAACUCUGGAUGCAAUAACCAAGGUCUCCCCAGAAAGCUGUCAGUGUAUACUUGUGUGGUGAGUAGAUUUCUAAUCAGCUCUAGAAGGGUGGCCAAACACAGCUAAACUGUGUCUUUUAGUAGCAGGAAAAGCAUCUGCUAUAGUUUAGAUGUUUGUCCCCCAAACUCCAUAUUGAAAUUUGACCCCCAAUAUUGGAUGGGGGCCUAAGGGGAGGUGUUUGGAUCCUGAGGACAGAUCCCUCAUGAAUGUCUUGGUACUGUCCUCACAGUGAAGAGUGAGUUCUCACACUAUCAGCUCCCUUGAGAAACUGGUUGUCAAAACAAGCCUGGCACUCCCCAUCCCCUCACCACGUGGUCUCUGCACACACGAGCUUCCAUUCACUUUUCAUCAUGUAUGGAACCAACCCGAGGACCUCAUUGGAAAGAGAGUGGAUGCUGGCACCAUGCUUCUUGUUCAGCCUGCAGAACUGGGAGACAACAUAAACCUCUUUCCUUUAUAACUUACCCAGACUUGAGUAUUUCUUUGUAGCAAUACAAACAGACAAAGCAUCUGACAAGCAAGUUGUUCAAUGAAGAGAUUGUUAGAGCCUGGGGAAGAGUCAUCAUGUUCAAUUGGUACAAGAUGCAAUUAACUAAUAUGAUUUGGGACAGCUGUCUCCAUUGAGGUCACCAGGGUGUCAUGGAGUGAAGCUUCAGGAGGAAGAGCUGACUACUUCCUACCCUGGGCUCCAUUUUUGUCAGGGCUCUACAGAGAGACAGAACUGACAAGAUAUAAAGAGAGGAAUAAAACAAAAAUCCAGAUAUUUCUAUAAAUCCGAUUAUUUGCCAAAUUAAAUGUGAAAGCUUGCCUCUAUCUCUUUCCAUUGUGUGCAGAUAUUUUGCACAGUGUGGAUUUGGUCUCUAGGUGUGAGUGUGCCCUGGACACAAUGCAUAGUAGACAGACAUUGUGCUUCGUUGUAGACACUGUGCUAGGCACGUAUUACACAUUGCCCCAAAUCCUUAUCACAAACACAUCAGGAGUAUGAUGGCCAAGGAGGAAGCUGUGGCUCAGCCCAUUGAGGCUGUAUAUCCAGGGAUCAACAGCCAGUAAGUGGGUGUGCUGACUCCCAAGGCCAAAGCCCACCUACUUGCCAGGUAACUUUCUAGGGAUAUGAAGGCAUUCUAUGUUAUGAUGGUGUGUGUUACAUGAGUGUAUCUGUCUACCAAAAGUGUGCUUCCAUGAUUUAUGCAAUCAGAUAUGGGAUAUAAUGGUAACUCAUGUUUUUACCCAAGGAUUUUUUCAUCACCAUAAAACAUCACUUCUACUCAGCUUUAUUCUAAUGAUUUGAGGCAGAGUUUAAAAAUCUGUCAAAAUUAAAUAUAUUUUUAACAAAGUGAAGACAUCUAGACAAACAGACAAUGGGGUAGGAAAGAUGGAGCUAAAACCAGGGCUGAGUUUCAUUCACAGAUGGCUCGAGGUCCUACUCAAUUACUAGAAAUGGG
rnacentral:lncRNA from 10 species